rnacentral:rRNA from 1 species
AUCGAACGCUGGCGGCAGGCCUAACACAUGCAAGUCGAGCGGAGCGGCGGACGGGCGAGUAAUACCUAGGAAUCUGCCUGGUAGUGGGGGAUAACGUCCGGAAACGGGCGCUAAUACCGCAUACUAUCAGAUCACCUUAGGUCGGAUUAGCUAGUUGGUGGGGUAAAGGCCUACCAAGGCGACGAUCUGUAACUGGUCUGAGAGGCUGAUCAGUCAGUGUGGAACUGAGACCCGGUCCAGACUCCUUCGGUAGGCAGCAGUGGGGAAUCUUCGCCAAUGGUCGAAAGCCUGUUCCAGCCAUGCCGCGUGUGUGAAGAAGGUCUUCGGAUUGUAAAGCUCUUUCGGUUGUGAGGCGUUACCAACAGAGUAAGCACCGGCUAAGUCCGUGCCAGCAGCCGCGGUAAUUC